AUUGAACGCUGGCGGCAUGCCUUACACAUGCAAGUCGAACGGUAACGGGCCUUCGGGUGCCGACGAGUGGCGAACGGGUGAGUAAUACAUCGGAACGUGCCCGAUCGUGGGGGAUAACGAGGCGAAAGCUUUGCUAAUACCGCAUACGAUCUACGGAUGAAAGCAGGGGACCGCAAGGCCUUGCGCGGACGGAGCGGCCGAUGGCAGGUUAGGUAGUUGGUGGGAUAAAAGCUUACCAAGCCGACGAUCUGUAGCUGGUCUGAGAGGAUGAUCAGCCACACUGGGACUGGGACACGGCCCAGACUCCUACGGGAGGCAGCAGUGGGGAAUUUUGGACAAUGGGCGCAAGCCUGAUCCAGCCAUGCCGCGUGCAGGAUGAAGGCCUUCGGGUUGUAAACUGCUUUUGUACGGAACGAAAAGCCUUCCUUUAAUACAGGAGGGUCAUGACGGUACCGUAAGAAUAAGCACCGGCUAACUACGUG
rnacentral:rRNA from 1 species